rnacentral:lncRNA from 1 species
AAAUUAGAGAUUCUUUGGCAAGUUUUUCUUUCUUUCUUUGUUUUUUCUUUUCUUCAUAUUUGAAUGAUCUCUUUGUAGAAAUAGCUAGACAUAUCAGUAUCAUUCAAACUACACCAUCUUUGAUUGACCGAAUUCAUAAUGAAUUUAUUAAUAAUCUUAUUGGACUAAUAGUUAAAAUAUUUUCCAUGUAUUAUAUAAUCCUUGUUUUAUGAGAUUGAUGAUGAAACAAAUAUAUAAUCUUUCUACUAAUAUUUAUGAACACGUUUAUUCAGUGUUCUCGAAGUCCCAUGUGGUAUUUAUACGUAUUACUCCACACUAAUUACGUAGAGAAAAAUUUUGCGGAUAUAACAUGAUAACUCACAUUUAUUGAGUAGUUGAAAAAUAAGAGGUGACCGGCCCACAAUGUGUGUUGCUAUUGUUCAUUUGCUGAGAGUAACAUGUAAGCAAUACCACAUGCACAUAAUUAUUUCAGAAAGUACCUAAUAAUUUUCCCAUUUUUAUGUUCUAAUCUUUAAAUUAAACAUGGACCUAAGAGAUGACUUGACCCAUGGGUCAAGAGGAAGAAAUAUAAUGUAAAUAACAACCAGUUUUUAAUGGCAGGUCUGGUAUACGCCCAGAGUCCCGGACCAAUAAUUAUCCUAUAGUUAUAGGUCUUGCACGGUUCAAAUUUCACUAAAAUGGUAAUUAUCCUAUAGACGACGGUGUUGGUUGUGUGGUGUUAGUGUUUAUGACCUUGGUGAGCUACAACCACAUCGGCUUUCGGGUAGCCUUUCUUAUUUUGUUGUUGACUAUGCGGUGGAAGUGUAGUGGUAGCAAUUAUGACCAUGGUGAGGACCGAUGGUGGUUGUGUGGUGGUAAGGUAUGGUGGUAGUAUGAUGGUGGUGGUAGUGGUGUUGAUGAGAACACUUUUGAAAGUUUGGCGUGGGGAUGAGGGAAAAAUAUUAAAUAAUUUCGGGCAUGGCUUUGUAUGACUCCGCCUUGAUUACUUGCCCCGAUUCCGCCCCACUAAAGUAAUAUAUGUUUUAUUUAUUAUAUUUUAUAUUAUUUAUUAAUAAUAAAUCUCAAAUAUAUGAGAAAAUAACAACUACGGUAUUUUUUACUAAGUUGAAGUUAUUCAUUGUUAUUAUGUUAGUUUUUCUUAUUUUUUUAUGUUUCAAAGUAAAUAAUUUUAGUUGAUGAGAAAAAAAAAAGAUAUGGGGAACGGGAACAGGGCGAGAAAAUUCGAUCCACGUAGAGGAUGGGAAUGGGUUGAUCAAUUAAAUCCCCACCGGGAUCAGGAAUGGGAUGGGAAUGCCUAUUGAUAGUCAUGAUAGCGAUGGGAUCGGUUCCAAGUUUUGGACGAAUUGAUUUGAUCCUGAAAUUUCAAGAAUCGUAGGAUUCAGUUCAAUCCGUGCGUAGGAUUCAGUUCAAUCCGUGGUUUUACUCAUAACCCAACAAAUCCAAACUGUGAACACCCUAGCAUAUACAAUUGGGUAAAUUUUAUCGCUGGUCUCUUUAGUUUAGAAAAAUUGACUUUAAUCCCAAUAGAUUUAAUUUGAACAAUUAUAACUUUACAGUUUUUUAUUAGUUGUAAUGUGAUUUCUUCAUUGAAAUUCAUUUAAAUGCUAACAAAAAUUGCAUAGUUUCUCUUUUUUUUUUUACAUUUUUGGUCUAUAUUUUUACAAAUUUUGGAUAGAUGGACCGAUUACAAUUUGUUGGAAAAUAAGGUUGGUCAGGUCAAGGACGGAUUUAGGAUUCUUACUAUGGGGGGCGAAAGCAUAAUUGAGAAAAAAAUUGGGGGGCUAAUCUCUAUAAUUUUGAUAUUUUCUUUAAAAAAAUUGAGGGGCUAACCUAUAUAAUUUCUAAAUUAUAUUAAAACGUGUAGUAUAAUUAGUGAAUUUUUUUCAAACUUUUGAAAGUGCGAACGCCCCCAUAGAUCUAUCCUUGGGUCAGGUUACUCAAACCCUUUGCCCAAGCCAACCCAAAAUUGUGGCUUUAAAAUUGUGUUUCAGUAUAUUGCCCAAGUCCUCAAAUUUGCCUGGCGCCGUGCUCAGGUUAGCCCAACCCAAGUUUUGCAUUUUGUUUCAUGGAUCGUGCACUAUUAUUUCCAAAAUUUAAUUUUUCAAGGAAAUUAGAGAUUCUUUCGCAAUGUGAAAGAGUAAAUGAAAAUUUUUCUUUAUUUGUCGCCGUGCUCAGGCUAGCCCAACCCAAGUUUUGCAUUUUAUUUCAUGGACCGUACACUAUUAUUUCUAAAAUUUAAUUGUUUUCAAGGAAAUUAGAGAUUCUUUCGCAAUGUGAAAGAGUAAAUGAAAGUUUUUCUUUGUUUGUCUGUUUGUUCUUCAGAUUUAGAUGUUCUGUACGUGGAAAUAGUUACAAAUCACUAUUAUAGAAAUUACACCAAUAUUCUGUAUGUGGAAAUAGCUAAACAUAUCAUUAUCAUAGAAACUACACCUUGUUUCAUUGACCGAAUCCAUAGUGAGUGUAACUAAUAGUACAAAAAAUAUCAAUAAAAUAUUUUCCA